GAGCCUAUGGUCUAGCGGUUAUGACGUUGGUCUUACAAACCGAAGGUCGCCGGUUCAAAUCCGGCUAGGCUCA
rnacentral:tRNA from 1 species